rnacentral:misc_RNA from 1 species
GUGAAUCAUCGAAUCUUUGAACGCAAAUUGCACUCUCUGGUAUUCCGGAGAGGAGGUCUGGUUGAGGUUCAGGUUGAAUAAAAAUCGGUGUGGUUGCUGCCUUUCGUGGUGACGGACCGGGUUUGGGUCGUCUUGCCUUCGGUUAUGUGACCUAAAAUUUUGCAUGAUUUUUUCGAACGUAUUUAAAUGAUUUUACGUACGUUUGCGAU